UACGUAGGGCGCAAGCGUUAUCCGGAAUUAUUGGGCGUAAAGAGCUCGUAGGCGGUUUGUCGCGUCUGCCGUGAAAGUCCGGGGCUCAACUCCGGAUCUGCGGUGGGUACGGGCAGACUAGAGUGAUGUAGGGGAGACUGGAAUUCCUGGUGUAGCGGUGAAAUGCGCAGAUAUCAGGAGGAGCACCAAUGGCGAAGGCAGAUCUCUGGGCCGUAACUGACGCUGAGGAGCGAAAGCAUGGGGAGCGAACAGG
rnacentral:rRNA from 1 species